GGGAGGUAUUAAAAGCAUUCCCAACAAACAUAGCACUAGUGAAUGUUUAUGCGACCAAUGCAAGUUUUCCAUUUGGGUUUUGGAAUGCAACGCCCCACCAAGCAUGAACUGGAGGGCUCGCUGAUCUGGAGCAGCUUGGCGAUCUGGAGUGGUGGAUGAAGAUGAAGAUACUCUCUUUGAUUUUAGGGGAAGGAGGUAGAAACCCUGUUUCUGAUUUCUGGAAAAGAAAGAAACCCUAACAGAUUUCGCCAUUUGGGCCCUUUUCUAUUUUCGGUGGAGGCAGCAGUGGCGGAGGUAGCAGCGGUGGAGGCUAUAGCGACGACAAAAGAGUGGAGUCAUUGGAGGAAGCACCGUAAGCAGUAGCAGCGGGGCACCAAUUGCGCGACGACGAAGCGAGAAGGCACGACCAAGAACUGCAACGAGUAAUGGCAAGCUCGAGCACUGGCAGCACAAGGGUGGCGCGGCGAGCCAAGGAAUGGUAGUUGUGGAGGAACCCACAGAAGAAAGAGCUACACAGAGGAAGAAUAGGAGAAAGGGGGAAGGAGAAACUUUUGUUUGACACAAAUAGGUUAAGUGUAGGAGCUACUACAUCAUUUGGCACCGAUUAAAAGGCCAACCCGAGGUAUAAAGCACUGGACAACUCGGUGUAGCAGGUGUGGUAGGGAACGUAGUAGGUGUAGCAGAGGUAUAGGCAUCGGUUGCCUAGCCACCCGAGCCAAUAGGGCCUUUUCAUAAGUCUGUCAGACAGAAAGGUCUGAUCUAAAGUGUGGUGUGCAGUGGUAUAGGCCUCGAGUCUUAGAUUAACCGGUGCAAUAUCACUAUUCUGCCUCGGGUCUUAGAUUAAACGAUG
rnacentral:lncRNA from 1 species